CUGAUUUAUACAACAAUGGCAAGCUCUGCUGGUUGAUCCCUCAAUUCAUAACCUAUGUCACAAAUGACAUGCAGGAUUCAAAAUGCACUUGGUGGCCACUUUAUUUAUCCAAUACAGCAGAUCUGCCAUUAAGUAUACAUUUAGUGAGGUUAUGAUGUUGAGUUUUUAUUGACACUGUCAGAGAGGUAUCAAUUUAUGGAUCUAGAAUAGUGACAUUAAGAUUUGGCAUCGAAAACAAAACCCAAACUGAAAAAGAAAACACUGGCAUUGAAAAAUUGGAUUGUAAAAGGUUGCAUUGGUAUUGAAACAAGUAUUGGCACUGAAAAGUGAGUUUUACUGAAAAUUAAACACAGAUAUCAAAAAAUUACAAUCUCACAAUAUUGUCAUUUUACUUUAUCAUAUUAUCUCUAAUAUAUCUUUAAUUCUGUGUCACUAAUUUGGUGUGGAGAGGCGGGGCUGGAGGGAAGGCGCAAGGAGUGGUGGGCGGAGUAAAGCGCUCUCUGCACCUAGGCAAGAGGGACACACACAAAAAGAAAGCUAGGGAGAAAGUCAGACAUGGUGCACCUGAAAGCCAUACUUGAAAAGUGUCACUUUUAUGUAAUGUUGCUAAUGUGAUGUCAAUAUGACUAUUAACAGAUCUUUUGCCGGUCUAUUUUCCAGCUCAAGCCUGGCGUGUCGCUCGGGUCUGCUUAUCAUUUCCACACUACUGCCCGAGUUGAAUUGCGUGGAGGUCAUGGAAUGACUACAGACUGUAAGAGCCACAGCCGGUCGAGGGACAGGCCAGCUCGAGCCUGGCUAGGCUACAGUUCCGGAUCUCCCCUAUUUUCCAGUCCUGAUGCGGUUCCCGGCAGCACACCUUGGAGCUCCAACUGCCGAAGUCCGGCCAACACCUCCAAAUGCAAAGCCUCCAAUCACCAUACUAAAACGGCCUGCGUCAACUGCCGAAAUCUGGCCAACACCUCCAGAUGCAGAACCUGCAAUUACUACACUAAAACGGCCUGCAUCGAAAGUCCAACAUGAAAUGAUGCCAAAAUCUCAAGUUGAAAUAACUCAGCUGCUUCAUCAGGUUAUGGCUGUAAAGGACUACAAGGUAUCCUCAUUGGAGAGGGAGAAACUCGUGUUGGUUAAUGAACUCGAGCAGUUAAAACAUCAGCUCAAGACUACAGAAGAGAAGCCAAAAAAUUGGGGAUCUUUUUAUCGAGACCUACAGAAAGGGAAAUAUAGUGAAAGAUGGUACCCUAAAUGCCCAAAAGUUCAGAAAAUUGAAACUAAUAGCAAGAAGGAGGCUGAGAAAUGCCUGGCCUGGAGGAGGAGACCUCUAUAGUCAGAACAGAACUGGCCCAGGUCAAAAAUGACCUGGAAAAAUCAGAAUGCCAUUGGGAAGAUGAGAGGUUCAGUCUCCUUGCUGACCAGAUGCAAAAAAAUUCUACCCGCAAAGCAACAUUUCUCCAGGAGCUGGAGAAACAUCUGGAGUGGGAGGAGGACAGGUCCCAUCUCAUGGAUGACCAUGUGAAGCAAACCUCAAGACAGUGUUUCUCCAGGAGCUGGAGAAAAAAAGGUCCAGGUGUGAGGAGGACAGGGAAACAUGUACAGCAAAUCAGGGCAACAUGUAGCUUAAAAAAGAUGUUAAUGCAUGUGCAAGAGGACUGGACAAGGAAAGACACCACUGGCACAAUGAAAAAUCUUCCCUCCUGGAGUCUCUGAGUGUCUUCAAACAGGCUCUAAAAGACCAAGAGCAAAAGAGAGAAACAUCUACAGACAGACUGUUGAACAGAGUAACAGAGCUGGAAAAUCUGAACAAUAAAAUACCAAUGAAAGAAUUAGAGGUUUGUAAAAUGCCAUGUUUAAAUACACUGAAUAAACAAAAUUUGAAAUUGCAACUCAUAUUUUAAGACAAAUAUACAACUUCAAAGUGUCCUUUCAAAUCCAAAUAUUUCAAUGCCAGUGUUUGCUUUUUCAGUUUGAGUUUUGUUUCCAAUGCCAAAUCUUAAUGUCACUGUCACUGUCACUAGCUCCAUAUCAGUUCUACAAUAAAUUUAUUAUUGAGGUCA